GGACGAACGCUGGCGGCGUGCCUAAUACAUGCAAGUCGAGCGAGCUUGCCUAGAUGAAUUUGGUGCUUGCACCAAAUGAAACUAGAUACAAGCGAGCGGCGGACGGGUGAGUAACACGUGGGUAACCUGCCCAAGAGACUGGGAUAACACCUGGAAACAGAUGCUAAUACCGGAUAACAACACUAGACGCAUGUCUAGAGUUUAAAAGAUGGUUCUGCUAUCACUCUUGGAUGGACCUGCGGUGCAUUAGCUAGUUGGUAAGGUAACGGCUUACCAAGGCAAUGAUGCAUAGCCGAGUUGAGAGACUGAUCGGCCACAUUGGGACUGAGACACGGCCCAAACUCCUACGGGAGGCAGCAGUAGGGAAUCUUCCACAAUGGACGCAAGUCUGAUGGAGCAACGCCGCGUGAGUGAAGAAGGGUUUCGGCUCGUAAAGCUCUGUUGGUAGUGAAGAAAGAUAGAGGUAGUAACUGGCCUUUAUUUGACGGUAAUUACUUAGAAAGUCACGGCUAACUACGU
rnacentral:rRNA from 1 species